rnacentral:rRNA from 1 species
GAUGAACGCUGGCGGCGUGCCUAAUACAUGCAAGUCGAGCGGACGGACGAGACGCUUGCUUUUCUGAUGUUAGCGGCGGACGGGUGAGUAACACGUGGAUAACCUACCUAUAAGACUGGGAUAACUUCGGGAAACCGGAGCUAAUACCGGAUAAUAUUUUGAACCGCAUGGUUCAAAAGUGAAAGACGGUCUUGCUGUCACUUAUAGAUGGAUCCGCGCUGCAUUAGCUAGUUGGUAAGGUAACGGCUUACCAAGGCAACGAUGCAUAGCCGACCUGAGAGGGUGAUCGGCCACACUGGAACUGAGACACGGUCCAGACUCCUACGGGAGGCAGCAGUAGGGAAUCUUCCGCAAUGGGCGAAAGCCUGAUGGAGCAACGCCGCGUGAGUGAUGAAGGUCUUCGGAUCGUAAAACUCUGUUAUUAGGGAAGAACAUAUGUGUAAGUAACUGUGCACAUCUUGACGGUACCUAAUCAGAAAGCCACGGCUAACUACGUG